rnacentral:rRNA from 1 species
UACGUAUGGAGCGAGCGUUGUCCGGAAUUAUUGGGCGUAAAGGGUGCGCAGGCGGCUUUACAAGUUGGAUGUGAAAUAUUGUGGCUCAACCACAAACGUGCAUCCAAAACUGCAAAGCUUGAGUUAAGGAGAGGUAAGUGGAAUUCCUGGUGUAGCGGUGGAAUGCGUAGAUAUCAGGAGGAAUACCGGUGGCGAAGGCGACUUACUGGACUUAAACUGACGCUCAGGCACGAAAGCGUGGGGAGCAAACAGGAUUAGAUACCCUGGUAGUCAAGGGCG